CUACGGGAUGCAGCAGUGGGGAAUAUUGGACAAUGGGGGAAACCCUGAUCCAGCAAUGCCGCGUGUGUGAAGAAGGCCUGCGGGUUGUAAAGCACUUUCGGUUGGGAGGACUGCUUCUAGCACUAAUAUUGUUGGAAGUUGACGUUACCUUCAGAAGAAGCACCGGCUAACUCCGUGCCAGCAGCCGCGGUAAUACGGAGGGUGCAAGCGUUAAUCGGAAUUACUGGGCGUAAAGCGCGCGUAGGCGGCUAGAUCAGUCGGGUGUGAAAGCCCCGGGCUUAACCUGGGAACUGCAUCCGAUACUGUCUAGCUUGAGUACAGGAGAGGAGAGUGGAAUUCCACAUGUAGCGGUGAAAUGCGUAGAUAUGUGGAGGAACACCAAUGGCGAAGGCAGCUCUCUGGCCUGAUACUGACGCUGAGGUGCGAAAGCGCGGGGAGCAAACAGGAUUAGAUACCCCCAUAGUC
rnacentral:rRNA from 1 species